ACCAUCUUUUUCUUGGGGUUGCACUACUGUCCAGUGAGCACAUAGUGAGGGCAGUACUGCUAAUGCCUACACAACAUGCCUGCAUCAUCUAGAGCUUUGCUCUACCUUGGUACUAUUUUUGGAAAA
rnacentral:ncRNA from 1 species